GGCAGUUACCUACCCAAACCUUUGGAUUGUGUUAUUUGCUCACAAGACGCUCCAAGAGCAGCCCUCCUCCCUUGACUUCCUGACCGAACCGAGAGGCGCCCCGAAAGCCCUGAGCUGAGGUACAAGCCACGCAACUACCUUGACUGCUUUUGAAGAGUUCGCCAGCAAGGAACCCUCCUCAAAGCAAAAGGAGCAAACGCCGCCAGGCUGGGUUAUAGAGACAACUGCGAAAGCUACCGCUCGGGCGCCCCCCUCCAACGCCAGAUUACAAGCCUUUGACCGAUUGCGGGGGGGGGGGGGUCGUCUCACCUCUGAGCAAACCAUCCUGUUCAACUAACUUCUCUCUUCUCUCCCCCCUUGUGCUAAAUCCCAUCUUUACACCGUAUCGCUGACACGCCAGGAAUAACCCCCCCAAUGAAGAGUGCAAACCCUCUGAGCACUUGGUGUGGCAAGACAGAAGGGGUCUGUAUGUGAUGGAGGGGGGGAUCUAUGUGUGAUGGGGGGGGGGAAAUGCUGCGUGUGUUAGUGGCGAAGCCUCUGCCCCGCCACUCGGACUCUUCCACGUUGCGUGGCUCUCCCGCAUCCUCUUUACCUUGUGGUUUUGGUAGGAAGUCACGGCGAUGAAGGCCGUCUCCGGAAAGACAUGGGUGCAGAAGGCGGUGUUUUUGGAGCCGAAUCCGUUGUUCUCAUCCGCUUUCACGAUAUGGAGCCUGGGCUGGUAUUUGUGCAUGGAGUUCAGUAUGAUCUUGAAAAGAAAGAGACACACAUGGGGGGAGGGGUGUCAAGCAUCGGGGCCUAGAUCCGUCUCUCUCCCCUCAGGCCAAGAUCCCCCCUGACAGGGCUUUGGGGGGCAGGGAGGGGAGGCUUCGCUUGGGAAAGGGGCGCCUGAGGAGACCAAGUGAGCUGGUUUUAUCAUUCAUAGACUUCACAUCCCUCUAAAAAUGUGUUUGGGGGCGGGGGUUCAUCUUUAUGGGUCUCCAGGAGUAAAAAUAGCUGAACUUAUUUUUUAGGAACAAGGCAGACUUUCUCCUCUGCUGAAAGCCAGCCCCUUGACACGGGAAGCAGACAUGAGCAGUGGGAAUAUUUUCCACCAGGGAUAUAAAAUUGAUCUCCACAAGGAAUCUACAACCAGCCUGGCCAUAAAUCAGGUUCCUCGCUAAACAUCAUCUUGCAAUAACAUAACUUUAAAGAACUUACGGGAGGCGUGCGUGCCUGGGUCUAACAUACAUAUUUACAUUUAAUAAAAGCCACUGGGCCCACAGUUCUCCCGCCUGCAAUGUAAUGACCCUAAACUGAAGCAUUUGGCUCACUGGUUCUAUGGCGCAGUGGACUCUCCUGCUUUAGUUUGACUGCCUGAGCAUUACAAUUAUUGCUCUGCUAGUCACAUUUAUUGUGGGUGGGGUUGAGUACGAAAGGAAAUCCGACCCAUCAGAAAUUACAUGAUAGAAUUCCUGGGGCUCCUAAGUUAUUCAUUGCUCAGAUUGUGGGAAAGGCCUGAAAUGAAGACCCAGGUGGCGUAAUAACUAAACUGGAUUUCCCUUAAGUGCCUUCUUCAAGGAUGAAGCUGUCUCAGUGAUGACCCUGGAGGGGACUAUUUAGCACUGUUGGAAAUGACUGUGAAGGCGAGCAGCUGCCCUCACAACUGGGAG